AUACUACUCCCUUGGUCCGAAAAAGCUUGUCCCAUGCUUGUUCCUCAAAUGGAUGAAUCUAGCACUAACUUGAUGCUAGAUACAUUUAUUUAAGGGACAAGUUUUUCCUGACAAAGGGAAUAUCAA
rfam:Triticum aestivum genome assembly, contig: Triticum_aestivum_CS42_TGACv1_scaffold_019220_1AS